GUCUCCUCCCUCUAAAGCCCGCUGCUGUUGCUACUCUGUAGGACGCUUUGAUUGGGGCACCUCACCAAUAAAAUACUAUUUUAUAUUUUAUAAGCAGUUUGCCACCACACUGCACUUUUACUCUCCAAAGGCAUAUGAGUAUGUGUGUGACAACUUUAACAAAGCUUUACCACACAGUCACACCAUCCACACAGCUGAUCCAGGAUUUACUGUAGCAUCUUUUACAGCACUAAGAGGUCAUGUGCAGGCAAACAGAGAGAAGGGAAAAGAAACAAUCUGUGCUCUCAAAUAACAAAGCAGUCUCAAAUCUUUUUGAGGAAUUACAGCUAAAAAAAUCUACUUUGCAUACAGUACAUCCUCUGAUAAAUAAAGUGAAGUACUUUGAUUGCAUUUCUGUGGUGUUCCUGUAGGUGACCAUGAUGCAGCCAGACUGAAGCAGCACGUUGUGAAGGUGGACGCCAUCAUCUUGUCUUUGCAGCGCUGAUUCUGAAGAGAACGCCUUCACAUAGGACUCCAAGGAAAUCAAUGCUCAAAGGAAACAGCAGUCCAGACUCUGAUUCCAGCUCCGAAGAUGCCCUCAGAUUCAGAUCCAUCAACAACCCCUGACAACAUGGAGGACUCGUCCCCUGAGCGUUUCCUGUCCUCUCUCGAUGUUCUUCUCUUCAGUUAUUAACUCUUGAAAACAGCAGCACAAAAUGCCAGACUGUUUGACAAGUCUGUGAUUGAAUAAAUGGAAAUGGAAUCUCAU